ACUUUGGACUCCCUUGGUCUAGGAGGCCAGAGUUCAGAAGUUCCACACAGGCUUCUGUCGAUAGAGCUUGGAAUGUCUUGUGAGGAUCAUGUGCUAUGAGCCCCUGACUCAGAAUUCACGUGCUGACUGCCAUCCAGGCUCGCAGUCCCCCUCACAGACACCACACAGCAUCCUGCAUGUCAUCUCAGUACCGGUCUUUGCAUAGAGGCACGGUGACUAUGAUCAGGCUGUCCUCAGAGAUCACCUGCUUACAGCCCGGCUAGCCUUGGACCUCUUAAUACCACGAUGGUAGCUUCUGGAGAGUGGUGGAAUUCAUCUAGAAGCUGGGGCUCAUGAGUCAGCACCCGCACCCCUCUCGUCCCUCUGCUGGAUCCUCUUCAACCUC